AGCUAGAAAUUCGUAUUUUUUUCAUUCGAAAAUUCACCUCGACCUUUGAUAAAUCUGCCCCUAAAAGUCAUAAUUCAUCUGGUUUUUUUUUACUGGCCCCAGUGCUCUUCCAUAGCUAUGUGUUGUUAGUUUCAUCAGGAAUUUACACCUCCAACUGUAUACCGAUUACCUGAAUAUAUGUAAUUUAUUAAUUAAUGUUUACAUUCAGCUCCUUAUACAUCUUGCCAGUAAAAUUACUCCUUGUAACUUUAGAUCAGAAAAUCCUCUGCACCCCUCCUGCAAGGUCCUAAUCUUACAAAAAAAACAUGCAAAAAUGUGUUUUUAUUCCCUUACAUGAAUUUGAUUGAAUUUGAAUAUGAAUUUGCUCAGAGAGAGAUAUACAAUAUUAGUUAGGAGAAGAAGUUGCAAAGAACAGGGAGUGUAGGGGAUAAAAGUGGUGCCACCAUCAGUAAUCAUUGGGCCCCAUACUAAUAAUGUAGUAUGGACCACACCCUACAGUGCCCCAAUUAUUAGACCACUAGUGUCCUAGGCCCCGUGGAUGAUCUGAACAUAGGAUUCCCCUCAUAUCUAUGGCCAUGCCUAGAUCUACUUUGGUCACCCCUGAUGUAUGACAAAAACCCCUGAACCACCGCCAAUUGUGCCUUUUACAUUUGGGCCUCUGUUUGACUGACCCCUGACUGCAGUAUCUCCUGUACUCUCCUGAUUGUGGCCCGGGGUAGAAGAAAGUUUGUUUUUUUAAAUGCACAAAAGCACUUUUCAAAAAUUUCAAUUAAGGAUGCGAGUGCAAGUUAGCAACAACUGGCAUAUCCAAGAUAGGCAGUGAGUAGUCAUGAUGACAUGUAGGCUUCGGGUUCAUUGUUGGAAAGAGCAGCGGUAGAAGCUCCACCCCCAGAUUCAGAGCAACAUUUCAUUGACUUUAAAUGGCAGCAGAAUAGGCCAAUAGCAGCGUGUUGCUGGAAGCUCAGUGACUCCUAUAAGUCAUCGGGAUAACGGCUCACGCGUCCUGUUAUUUCACUCUGCUUUGCAACAUAAUCCAGUUGACCUCAUCCCGGAGCUGCGCACUACGAAGGUUCUUCCACCGGAUCGGCCUUGUUUUUAAAUCUCCCUCCCGCAAGAGCCCCAAAGAGUAGAAG